rnacentral:lncRNA from 1 species
GACGUGGCCCGGUGGGAUGACGUGGUUGGUGAAUGGAAGGACGAUGGCAUCAGGAGGUGAUAAGGUCAAGAGGGCGAAGCCCUCGGGAUUGGAAUCCUGCUGGCUUCAAAGGGAGCUGCCUGCACCCCACCCCGCAGAAGGACCCAUGGAGAGCUCACCAUCCAUCUACUGCUGACUUUCCUCAUUGCCAUGGCAAAGGAUCAAACAGAAGCAACUUGAGGGAGGUGCUGCCUUUGUUGGCUCACGGUUUUCUGGGUUCAGUCUGAUCUGGUGGAGAAAGCAUGGCGGAUGUCUGGAGCUAGUGGAUAAACUUGUUCAGAUCUUUGUGGAUGGGGAAGCAGGGCUGAGUUCUAUCCCUCCAGGGGGACCCAGUACUGCUAGGUACUAGACCCAGAGUCCCAAAGUUUUCCCAACCUUCCAAAGCAAUACCUUCAAUAGAGGAGCAUGAGCCUGUGAGAGAUUAAGCAAAUCUUAACAGUGGGGAAGCAAAGGCUAAGUUUGUCAGAGCCUUGCCCUUGUACUUCCAGCCCCAGGUCUCUAGAGCAGUGACUCUAUAGUUCAUAAAGCUACCCAGCCUGUGAUAUUUUCAGAUCACAUCUCAGAUGGACUAAGGCAAUUUUUAACUAAACCCUAUUUGUUGUGGUAUUUCCAAACCCUCUUUGUAACCCUCCUGAUACCAGCACAUUUACAGGAACUAAAAACUGGACUCUAGAGCCUUGCUUUCUUUUUUCCCCCCUGCUUACAUGUUUUCUGAACAUCUGAAUUUGCAAUGUUGUAGAAACCAAAGGUUUUACACAAGAUUAGAGUCUUUUAGCCUCCCUACAAAACUCAGAAAUCUUGUGAAAUAGGGUCCUUGGUUUCUCCUGGGCAGAAGACUGAAGGAGAGAGACAGGAAGACAGAAGGGAAGGAAGGCAAGGAGAGAGACAAAGUCAGAGAGAGAGAGAGAGAGAGAGAGAAAGGGGGGAGGUAGAGAGAAUAAAAGAGGGGGCAAGACUAAAGGUAAGAGGGGGAGGUACAUAAGGAGGGGAGGAGAGAGACAGAGUCAGAGAGAGGGGGAGAGAAGGAGGAAGGGAGAGAGAAAGAGGGAGAGAGGUGAAAGGAAAGAGGAGGGAGGAAGGAAGGGAAGGGGAGAGAGAGGUAAAAGAGAGAGAGAGAGAGAGAGAGAGAGAGAGAAUACUCAUGGAGUCCCAACAGAGAUGCCUAGUGUCCACACAGAAUGGUCCAGAGUCCCCUCUGCCAUUGCUUAAUUCUUCCUCUCCCAGCUGACUGUGAGCUGGGCUGAGCACAGGUCCCUGCUGGGGUCCUAAGCUGUGGCUCACACGCCUGUGUUCUUUCCUCUGUUCCUGUCCAUCAUUCCAUGUCUCUCAAAAGACUGGGAACUCUCUGGGCAUAUGAGCAUCACUCUUAUCCACGUCCCUUGUGCCAUCCCUCAGAACCUCCAUCCCCUGAUGCUCCGUGCUGACUAGUGGCCGAUUCUAACUAGGGGACAGCUGUGCCUUGCAAAAUGCAGGGCUACUGGGCCCAUUUCUUUAAAAAAACAAAAAAGUGAUCUAUUUAUUUUUAGGAACAUAAUUACUUUGCCUGCAUGUCUGUCUGUACUUGCAUGCCAGAAGAGACAUUCAGCACUCUGGAACUAGAAUUACAGACAGUUGUGAAUCACCAUGCAUGUACUUGGACUUGAACCCAGGACCUCUGGAAUAGCAGUCUGCAUGCCUAACCACUGAGCCAACUCUCCAGCUCCACUAAUUUCUUCUUCAGUAGGGUGAUAGAUGCUUUUGGAGGGCAGUCUUCCUCCCAGGCAGGAGACAGUUACAGGAGCCGGAGACCUCAAACCAAACACGGGAAAGUGGAGCUCAGUGGGGGCGCGGGGGUGGGGUGAGCGAGACAAGCUCCGGGCUCCCAUGCCAGGCAUGGUGGCACUCGCCUUUAAUCCCAGCACUUGGGAGGCAGAGGCAGGCAGAUUUCUGAGUUCGAGGCUAGCCUGGUCUACAGAGUGAGUUCCAGGAUAGCCAGGGCUGCACAGAGAAACCCUGUCUCGAAAAACAAAAAACAAAAAAACAAAAACAAACAAACAAACAAACAAAAAAGCUGCUGGCUUCCUAUCUCUAAACUGAUCAGGAAGAACCAUAGUCUCUCUUGACAACAGCGAGGAGGAGACGUGGGAUCUUGAGACACACAAUGGGUAGGCAAGCCCCCUCCCUGCCCCUGACACACACACACACACACACACACACACACACACACACACACGCAACUAUUGCUCAAAUUCUGAAGUACUACUAGGUUUGAAAACCAAAUUAUGAUCAUAUAGUAAAAACUACCCUGGGGCAGGGUGGCAGUGAUGCAUCCCUUUAACCCCAGCACUCAGGAGGCAGAGACAGACACGUAUCUGUGAGUUUGAGGCCAGCCUGGUCUAGAAAGUGACUUCUAGGAUAGCCAGGGCUAACACAGAGGAACCCUGACUAGAAACAAACAAAUAAACAAAUAAACACCCACAACCACCACCACCAGCAACAACCACCCUGGAAGCCAGAAGUCCUCAUGCAAGUGUCAGAGCUGGGUAAGAGUGAUCUUUGCAGCUCAAGCAUGGUGGGGUCAGCUGUAAGUCAUACAUCGACACACGGGGCUGGAGGUCGUGGAUGUCAUUGCUCUCUCAGUUCUCCAAGUAAUGUCUUCUUGGUUUCCAUUUGCUUGGAAUCUCCUCUGUACGCUCCGCAUAGGUAAAACAAACAAGAACAGUGUGUUCUUUGUCUAAACAGCACUCUGCCACCGUCUGUGAUAGCGGAGUUUUGUUUCUCGGGUCUCACGCCUGGGUGCUCUUUCCUCAUUAGUACCUGGAGCAUCUUACUUGAGUUUCCCUGGACCGGCAACGUCCAGAGGUCCUGAAGCCCUGCUUCCUGCCUCUCUGUGACAAGCCAGGGCUCCCUUCCGGGAAAACGAUGUUUCUGCCCUGCAUGGCUGGCUCUCUUUCCUGCAUGGUCAUUUGCCUGAACUCAUCAAUUGCUAUUAUUCUCUAUCCUGCUUCUUGAUAAGAGACGUGAAAACGGUCUCAUUUUCUCUGUGGUGUUAUCAGAAGACUGUCCUAAUAACCUCUUUGUAGACAGACCGAGCAUAGGGCUGAAUUCAAGGCUUCAGACACCGUUUUCAGCAAGGCUGAGCGGAGCAACUGGGAUAGCAUCAACCAAGUCCCUGGAUCCUGUAAACCUGCAGCUAGUUAUCACUGGUCUUUUCCUCCCAGAGACCUACCAUCUUCCUUAGCUCCUACAGCAAUGGGUUUCAACCUUCCUAAGGCCACGACCCUUUAGUACAGUCCCUCCUGUUGUGGGCCCCUGUUGUAAAAUUAUCUUCAUUGCUAUUUUAUAACUGUAAUUUUUUUGUAGUGAAUCAUAACGUAAAUCUCUGUGUUUCUUGAGGGUCUUAGGUGAAUCUGUGAGAGGGUUGUUUGACUGCGACCCACAGGUUGAGAACCGAUGUCCCACAGGGUCACAGCAACAGGGCCUCAGUGUCAGUGGCUGCCACCCUCUUUCUCUCCUCUUUACUCAAUUCUGUUCUUUGUCAUGAUUUAUUCCAGUCUUGCAAAAUGCCCAGAUCAGCCACACUCAGCCGGCAGUAUAAAUCAUUACAGGUUUGUACCGCACCACUUACAUGAAUUGGUCCACGUCUGGCUUUGGUCACAUGCAAGAAAAUAACCCCCGUCUUCCCUGUGUAGCCCUGGUAUAACCUACUUGGCUACAUAUUCCACAACCAUUUUAACUCAAAUGUACUGGAAAAAUGACAUAUGGAGACGUUUGGCUGCCUUCUCAAUGCAUCUAUGUUUCCUGGUCUGCGUUCAUCGCCCUUGAAUUCCUGCCAGGAGCUUGCUGCUUGCUGCCCGACCUCAUCAUACUCUCCCCUCAGAGAGAGAAGAGGGCGAAGAAUCCUGCAAACCUUUCAAACGCCCACUGCGUGUCGAUUCUGUUUUUCCAUCCCAUCCAGACUGUCAUUUUCAAAUUCUUUGAAAAUCCUUCGACUUUUAGUGAAGCAAAUGAGAGCCUCGCUCUUGCCCACUUAAUGAACCUACUGCUGGGCGCAUCAGCCACCGAUUUCCAUGCCUUGUGAGUGGAGCCAGGGAGCAGGGGUAUGGUAGAGGGGCCCCAGGCAGGGUGGGAUGUGAGGGUUUCUUUUGUGGGGUUAAAGAGCCCCACAUUCUCUUUAGAGGAGGAUGCUCUGAGCUCGGGAACAUUUCCAAUGACUUUGAAUUGUUGCACAUGAGAACACGUCACAAAAAGA